rnacentral:rRNA from 1 species
UCCAGACUCCUACGGGAGGCAGCAGUGAGGAAUAUUGGUCAAUGGGCGAGGGCCUGAACCAGCCAAGUCGCGUGAGGGAGUACUGCCCUAUGGGUUGUAAACCUCUUUUGUCGGGGAGCAAAAGCCGGACGUGUCCGGCUGUGAGAGUACCCGAAGAAAAAGCAUCGGCUAACUCCGUGCCAGCAGCCGCGGUAAUACGGAGGAUGCGAGCGUUAUCCGGAUUUAUUGGGUUUAAAGGGUGCGCAGGCGGAUUUUUAAGUCAGCGGUCAAAUCGUGGGGCUCAACCCCAUCCAGCCGUUGAAACUGGGGAUCUAGAGUGUGCGAGAGGUAUGCGGAAUGCGUGGUGUAGCGGUGAAAUGCAUAGAUAUCACGCAGAACUCCGAUUGCGAAGGCAGCAUACCGGCGCGCAACUGACGCUCAUGCACGAAAGCGUGGGUAUCGAACAGGAUUAGAUACCCUUGUAGC